GAAACGAGUCUGGGUCCGAGUUAGAUACAGACAUAGUAAUUCCUCUCUGCAAGCAAAUAUGAACAAGACAGCCAGACUAUUCAUCAUCUUCUUCGCCUGAUCAUUCAAAUUCCGAAAUUACCCUCACUGAAUGAUCAAAUUUGCCAAAUCUAACACUAGUAAUGGCAUGAAAACAAAAUAAUGGACUCCAAAAAUCCCCAAACAGUCCCUCAUUUCUCAACUCUAUCAACAUCAGCAGUCUCAUUCCUCAAUGAAAGAGUCUACACUUCACAAGAUCUCCAAACGGCGUCGAAUCUCGCGUCGGAGCUACAAUCACAGUGUUCGGAGUUGGAAAAUACAUUACUCGGUCUCAAUUCGAGACUCGAGUUAAGUCUUGUUGCGUACACUUCAUUUUCAAAUCAAUUUCAAGGUCUAAUAGGUGAAGCCAAUCGAAAAUUGACCGAUCUCGGGUCUGUCAAGCGAUCGUCUACCUCUCUAUUAUCAGAAGAUGAAGAAUGGAGGAAAGGACAGAUGUCAGGGGAGGAGCUGCGUGCACUUGCCAAGGAGGUUGCUAGAGUGGAAACCGUUCGAGCUUAUGCCGAGACAGCUUUGAAGCUUGACACUUUAGUUGGUGAUAUUGAAGAUGCAGUGUCCUCUGCUAUUAACAAAAACCUAAGGAAGCAUUCCUCUAAACAGAGCUCAGAAGAAAUGCGACUGCUUGCUAUUGAAGCACUUGGAAAAACAGAAACUGUUUUAACUUCAAUCACAAAGACACGCCAUCAGUGGACACAUCUUGUAUCGGCUGUUGAUCACAGAGUAGAUAGAGCUUUGGCUAUUUUAAGACCGCAGGAAAUUGCAGAUCAUCGGGCCCUUCUUUCUUCACUUGGAUGGCCACCACCUCUUUCAACCUCAACUGAAGCCCCCAACCCUCUAUUCACAAUGCAAGGGGACCUCAAAAACAAGUAUUGUGAAAAUUUUCUUGCUUUGUGCCGCUUGCAGGGGCUGCAAAGACGAAGAAAAUCUCGGCAACUUGAAGGCCAUAACAGGGAAGUUGCUCUGCAUCAGCCACUUUGGGCAAUUGAAGAACUUGUGAAUCCUUUAUCAAUUGCAUGCCAACAACAUUUUUCAAAGUGGAAUGAUAAAUUGGACUUCAUUUUUGCACUUGUUUAUAAGAUUACAAGAGAUUAUGUUGACACUAUGGAUGAAUUAUUGCAACCGCUGGUUGAUGAAGCAAGGCUAGUGGGUUAUAGUUGCAGAGAAGAAUGGAUUUCAGCAAUGGUAACAUCUUUAUUGACAUACUUAGCGAAAGAGGUUUUCCCUAAAUAUAUUUCUCAACUGGAUGAAGAGAGUGUCAUUGGCAUUCAAUUGCAAGCUAAAAUAUCAUUCCUCCAUCUCCUUGACUUGAUGAUUUCAUUUGAUAAACGUAUUAUGUCCCUGAUAUCACAUUCUGGGAGUAUGCUUUCCCUCCUGGAAGAUGAGAACUUGCAGAAGAUUUCUUCUCUCUCUGUCUUUAAUGACAGACCUGACUGGCUUGAUCUAUGGGCAGAAAUAGAGCUCAGUGAAACUCUUGAGAAGCUAAAACCCGAGGUAGAUGAUGAGAGAAAUUGGACAAUAAAAAUUCAAGGGGCAGCUCUUUUAUCUGGUCCUGAAAAUUAUAAAUCUCCUGUGGUUUCCAGUGCCUUCCUUCGCCACAUAUCUUUGGUGGUUGAUCGAUGUCGAUCAUUGCCUAGUACUUCUCUAAGGUCAAGGUUUCUCAGAUUGGCCGGUCUACCUCUUCUACAACGAUUUCUGGAUUGUGUUCUUCUGAGGUGCCAAGAAGCUGAAGGACUGACUGCAUUAACAGAUGACAAUGCCUUAAUCAAAGUUGCAAAUUCCUUAAAUGCUGCUCACUACGUUGAGUCCAUAAUAAAGGAAUGGUGUGAAGAUAUUCUGUUUCUUGAAAUGGGAUUUGAUAAUGGUGAUCCAAUAGGAUCAUCAAAUAACAUUGAUCACAGGGAGGCAUCGGCUGAUGGACCUGUUAGUGGCAUUUUUGACGAGGAAAUAAGGAAGUUGGAGGAUUUCCGAAAAGAGUGGGUUGAAAAGAUAUCGGUUGUUGUUUUGCGGGGAUUUGAUGCUAGGAGUAGAGAUUAUAUGAAAAACAAGAGGCAGUGGCAGGAUAAGGGAGAAGAAGGCUGGACAGUUUCCAAGAGUUUUGUUGGUGCUUUAGACUAUUUACAAGGAAAGAUGGUAAUUGUGGAAGAGAAUUUAAAUGGAAUAGAUUUUGUUGGUGUAUGGAGAAGUUUGGCUGCUGGGGUCGAUCGCUUGCUUUUCAAUGGUAUCCUUAUGGGCAAUGUGAAGUUUCAUGAUUGUGGUGUUGAAAGGCUUGAUCAUGAUUUGGAAGUUUUGUUUGGGGUUUUUGGAGCUUGGUGCUUGAGGCCUCAAGGCUUUUUUCCCAAAAUAAGUGACAGUUUGAAGCUGCUGAAAAUGGGGAAGAAGCAGUUUCAGGAUAAUUUGGCAAGACCAGAAAAGUGGAUGAAGGAGCACGGAAUCAGGCAUUUAGGCGUAGCUGAGGUUGAAAAGAUACUAAACAGUAGAGUCAUGAGUUAAGGGUUUGCAAAUAGAACUCUUUUUUCCUAAAUAUCAACACAGUUAAUACCAAACAUGGAAGCGAACAGAGAGCUUGUUUGAGACUGCAGGGUUCCAUCUUAUUCCAACAGUGAAGGAAGGAAACAGAUCAAAGAGAAGCUACUCAAAAGGAUCUAAAAGAGAAGAUGAAGGUUGAGGGGUCCAAAGAUAAAGAGAGUAUAUGAAAAAGAACUAUUUGAGGAGACCAUAUAUGAAGAAACAGUAGCAUAAGCCUGCCAAUUGUAGUCCACAACAUCCUCUGAUUGAAACAACAUAUUGCAGUCUGUUACCGGAAAUUUAGGGGCUAGAUUUGAGAGUUUGGUAAAUGAUGCCAAAUACCCAAUUAUUGGUUUUGUCUUUUUUCAACCAUUCCUCAAUGUUGAAAAAAAUAUCAUAAACUUUUUGCUUUCUCAUUUAAUCUCAUAAUUUAAAAGUACAAAGUUCGUCAUGCAAACUAAUAUCUACUCAUUAGUGGGUACGGGUGAUUUAGAAGGAAAAUAUGACUAUUUAUUGUAAGGUAGGUACAUUAUAUGGGUGUAAUCGAGUAGAAUCAAGCAAAUUAUUUGUGAUUAGCUCGAAAUAUAUUCAAAUCAAUUCGAUUUUAGUUGAAUUGAUGUCGAGUUGGAGGUCAAACUUGAACUAUUUGAAUAAAUUACCGAGUCAAGUUUGAACAUUAAAAUACGCGGC